CCAAUGUAAAUCAUGGUUUUAUUGUCUACAACAAUUUCUGUAGCUUCACAUAGAUAUUAGAAGGAUAUGUACAAGAAUUAUAAUGACUUUUCUAAGAUAGUUUAAUUUAACUGAACAACUGAUAUAAAAAAUAAGCCUCAUGUAAGAAAGUCACACUGUUCUUUGGCUCAAUAAAUCCUGUUUUAAAAAUAAUUGUUUUCUAUGGACCCUAUCCUAGAACCCUCACAUACUACAACAUUUUCAAUGUAAUUCCAUUUAGAUCCAGAUUUUUAAUGUUAGUUUAACGGCAGUUCAGAGCUAAUCUCAUUUCUCUUUUAGAAAGCAAGUAUCAAGACAAUUUUCUAUUGGAACAGCUUCUAGAGGUCACUCAACAAAUUCUGUUUCUGCUCUUUCUCUCCUUGUCCAACCUUCUUCUUUGACCUAAAUACACUUCUGUUGGACUCUAAGAUUCAGAACAUCUGUCUACAACUUUUGCAGAUUCCCUCUGGAGGCCCAUUUUUGCAACUUAUUGUAUAUUGCUAACCACAGUAGAAGCCAUGAACACAUCUAGUUUCCCUACAGGUCCCAGACUCCCUGAUUGUCAGUGACAGCGAUUUAUGCUCUUAUGACCACUCACUGCUAUAAUGCAUUUAGAUUUUAUGUCAUUAACUCAUGGAUCCAGUGAUGUUUGUGUAAUUCAACUGAGUGGACAACUGUCUUUGUUUAAAACAUUUUCAAAAAUGUUUUUCUCUUUACAUUUUUCAGAGCUCCAGACCCCUGAAAGUCAUAAUGCUUAUUCAUAUGAAUUAGACCCAGCAAUGUUACAAGCUGAGGCAGAUGUGGCGUCAAACACCAGAAAAGCAUCUUACAGGGAAACAAGCUCUGGAGAUAGUGGACAUUCUAAUGUGAAUGUUUGGAAUGGCCAUGAUUUUGGUUUGGUGCAUGGAGAUAAAAGCUUGAAGUCGUUUACUUUGGAAAGACAUUGUUGUCAACUAAGAGAGACUUAAUUGGAACCACGCUGAUGACAGUACCACUAAGAAUGAGAAUUCCAAACAGCAAAAGCACCUCUGACAUGGAUUUUUGGAAGUGGUUCAAAGAUUUAGUGUAAAGCACAGUGUGUUUGGAAUGAAAGAGAGCUACGGAACAACUGUGUGAUUCAAAAGUUAAAUGCUAUGAGGCAAAGAUAAGGGCAGGGAAAAGCUGAAAGGGGUAGAUUAUAGUAAGUCAAGGGAUAAAGAAGCGAGAGAGUAAAAAUAAGUACAUGAGUAGGUUUGUGAAAUUAAUGAUUCUAACUGGCUUGUUGAGCUCAGAGAAAAGUAAUAAUCCUUGGUGAAUAGGGAAACGGAUAGCCAUUCAGGUACGACAGCUUCUUUUAUUCCAUUAUCUGUUCUUACAUUUGUGGCAGAGAACAGGCAACCUAAUUCUUUUAUGUGUUAGUCUGUAUCAUUGUAAACUGAAUCUAUUUAUUUAGGGAAUCUACGAUCCAGGGAGAUAUUGACACUUCAGUGCUUUGAAGCUCUUCGGAAGAACACAAUUAAUUGCAUAUUUAUUUAGUAGGGUAAUCAUUCCUUGUUUCAACAAAACAAAACAAAAUCCAAAUAACUAAAACAUUUAAAAAGAUUUUCAAAGAUCUGGAAAUAAACAACGAAGUUCAAAAUUAAACUUGAAAACAGAGGCUGUUUCUCUCUUUGUGCAGUCAGUACCAAGCCCAGUGUCUGGCACAUUUUAGGCACUCUGCUGUUUAGGAGUUUGAUCAGAAACAGUUUUGAAAAUGACUAAAUUAGUUUCUUUUGGAAUAAAAUUUCACUUCGUCAGAGGCAUUUUGUGAGUGGAGUUAGUCAUGUUGAGCAUGGUGAUUUUGUUUCAUCAGGAAUAAACUCAUCUGUCAUUGCUUUGUAUUUUCUAGAGUGAUCUAAGAAUGAUAUGUAAUGCUAUCUAAGCCCCUUGCCUGGGACUGGGCCUAGCGCCUUGCUUCUAAUGACUAGACUAUGGCAAGAGUACAGAGAUAUCAUUUCUGAAAUUAUGUUACUAAGAGACUGUGACCUCCAUUGUGGUGUUCUCUUGCACACUCCCUGGGAUCACUUGCCCUAGGGAAAGCAAACUGCCAUGUUGUGAGCAGUCCUAUGGAGAGACCCAUUGGGCAUACUGAGGAGCUGAGGCCAACAGUACAGGCGGAUCUUCAGCCUGGCUAUAAUAAUUGUAAGUGAACUUAAAGCCUUCAUCCCCACUUGGGGUUGGGGCUUACCAUAUUCCAGCUGACAGCUUGACUGCAAGCUCAUGAGAGGCCCCGAGUCUGAGGGACCCAGCUAAACUAUACCUGGAUGCCUGACCCACAGGAACAAUGAAAGAAUAAAUGUUUGUUAUAUUAAGGAGCCAAAUAUGGGAGUGAUUUGUUAUACAUCAAGAGAUAAUAAAUACACUCUUAAGUAAAAAAAAAAAAAUUGCUUGGGUAAAAUGUUUAAAAAAAUAGAGUUGCUUUCCUCUAACAUUUUUAAUUUUUGUCCCA